UACGUAGGGGGCAAGCGUUGUCCGGAUUUACUGGGCGUAAAGAGCGCGCAGGCGGUCAAGUAAGUCGAAUGUGAAAGCCCCCGGCUCAACUGGGGAGGGUCAUUCGAUACUGCUCGACUUGAAGGCAGGAGAGGGCAGCAGAAUUCCCGGUGUAGUGGUGAAAUGCGUAGAUAUCUGGAGGAACACCGGUGGCGAAGGCGGCAUCCUGGACCAAUUCUGACGCUGAGGAGCGAAAGCCAGGGGAGCAAACGGG
rnacentral:rRNA from 1 species